rnacentral:rRNA from 1 species
UACGAAGGGGGCUAGCGUUGCUCGGAAUCACUGGGCGUAAAGCGCACGUAGGCGGAUUGUUAAGUCAGGGGUGAAAUCCUGGAGCUCAACUCCAGAACUGCCUUUGAUACUGGCGAUCUCGAGUCCGGGAGAGGUGAGUGGAACUGCGAGUGUAGAGGUGAAAUUCGUAGAUAUUCGCAAGGACACCAGUGGCGAAGGCGGGUCUCUGGACAGUUCCUGACGCUGAGGCACGAAGGCCAGGGGAGCAAACGGG